UGCCAGCCGCCGCGGUAAUACGGAGGGGGUUAGCGUUGUUCGGAAUUACUGGGCUUAAAGAGCUCGUAGGUGGUUAAAAAAGUUGAUGGUGAAAUCCCAAGGCUCAACCUUGGAACUGCCAUCAAAACUUUUUAGCUAGAGUAUGAUAGAGGAAAGUGGAAUUUCUAGUGUAGAGGUGAAAUUCGUAGAUAUUAGAAAGAACACCAAAUGCGAAGGCAACUUUCUGGAUCAUUACUGACACUGAGGAACGAAAGCAUGGGUAGCGAAGAGGAUUAGAUA
rnacentral:rRNA from 1 species